rnacentral:lncRNA from 1 species
UAUAAGCUUUUAGUAACUAUAUAAACUAGAGAUGUCUAAAAUAUUCGAUAUUUUGGACAUGAUUCAAACACUAUCCGGACUCAAUUAAGGGCUUGUUUGGUUUAAGGGUGGAAUUGGAAUGGAUAAUGGAAUGAGAAUGAAUUGGAAUGGUAUAAUUGGAAUGAUCCACUCUCCCAAAACGUUUGGUUUAUUUGUGGAUUGGGAAUUAGAAUGAGUUAUUCACAUUUUAUUGUUUGGUUCGUAUAAAUUAAAAAAAUUAUAGGAUACUAUAAUACUAAUUUUACUCUCAAAUAUAAAUUUAUAUUAUUUAAAAUUUAUGAAAAAUAUAAUAUUAUUCUCUAAUAAGUUUUUCAAAAAAAAAUUCAAAUUUAUUUUUAAAAACUUUUAUUAAUGUGGGUUAGGAAUAAGGUUUUGAGAGAGGAUAGGGUUUUUUUUUUUUGAUGAGAAAGAGGUGGAGAGAAGGAGGGUGAGAUGGUCACAUGAGUUUCGAGAACUUAGUGGGCUUUCAGAAUGAAAUCUCAAUCCGAACUAGAAGACCGGAAUCAAGUUGAAGGCUAAUGGGUCAUUCCCAUUCCAGUCCGGAAUAGGAAUCUCAAACUGAUUCAUGCGAACCAAACAAAAUUAACCCGAUUUGAUCAAACCGAUUUCAAUUCCAUACUCAAAAUGGAUGAACCAAACAAGCCAAAAGUAGAUAGUAGAUGGGUAAAAAAAAA